GCCGGGGUCCCCAAGCCUGGUAUGGGGCUGGUCUGCUAAACCAGUGGCCUUUGGCCGCGCGGGUUCAAAUCCCGCCCCCGGCGCC
rnacentral:tRNA from 1 species